GACGAACGCUGGCGGCGUGCUUAACACAUGCAAGUCGAACGGAAAGGCCCUGCUUUUGUGGGGUGCUCGAGUGGCGAACGGGUGAGUAACACGUGAGUAACCUGCCCUUGACUUUGGGAUAACUUCGGGAAACUGGGGCUAAUACCGGAUAGGAGCUCCUGCUGCAUGGUGGGGGUUGGAAAGUUUCGGCGGUUGGGGAUGGACUCGCGGCUUAUCAGCUUGUUGGUGGGGUAGUGGCUUACCAAGGCUCUGACGGGUAGCCGGCCUGAGAGGGUGACCGGCCACAUUGGGACUGAGAUACGGCCCAGACUCCUACGGGAGGCAGCAGUGGGGAAUAUUGCACAAUGGGCGGAAGCCUGAUGCAGCAACGCCGCGUGCGGGAUGACGGCCUUCGGGUUGUAAACCGCUUUCGCCUGUGACGAAGCGUGAGUGACGGUAAUGGGUAAAGAAGCACCGGCUAACUACGUG
rnacentral:rRNA from 1 species